rnacentral:rRNA from 1 species
GAUCCUGGCUCAGGAUGAACGCUGGCGGCGUGCUUAACACAUGCAAGUCGAGCGAAGCACUUAGGAAAGAUUCUUCGGAUGAUUUUCUAUUUGACUGAGCGGCGGACGGGUGAGUAACGCGUGGGUAACCUGCCUCAUACAGGGGGAUAACAGUUAGAAAUGACUGCUAAUACCGCAUAAGACCACAGCACUGCAUGGUGCAGGGGUAAAAACUCCGGUGGUAUGGGAUGGACCCGCGU